GACAGAAUCCUCGAGCGUUACCCGGAUUUAUUGGGCGUAAAGGGUCCGUAGGUGGUUUGGUAAGUUUUGAGUUAAAGCUUUUCGGCUUAACCUUAAAGAUGCUCAAAAUACUGCCAGACUUGAGGGCGUUAGGGGUUAGCGGAACCGACGGAGUAGGGGUGAAAUCCGUUGAUAUCGUCGGGAACACCAAAAGCGAAGGCAGCUAACUAGGACGACCCUGACACUGAGGGACGAAAGCGUGGGGA
rnacentral:rRNA from 1 species